CCUACGGGUGGCUGCAGUGGGGAAUAUUGGACAAUGGGCGCAAGCCUGAUCCAGCAAUGCCGCGUGUGUGAAGAAGGCCUUAGGGUUGUAAAGCACUUUCAGCAAUGAAGAAGUUGUAUUGGCUAAUAUCCAAUAUAAUUGACGUUAGUUGCAGAAGAAGUACUGGCUAACUCUGUGCCAGCAGCCGCGGUAAUACAGAGAGUGCAAGCGUUAAUCAGAAUUAUUGGGGGUAAUUAAUAAAGUGGGUGUUGAAAUCCCUGGGCUUAACCUAGGAAUUGCAUUUAAUACUUUGUAUCUAGAGUAUUGUAGGGGGAAGUGGAAUUUCCGGUGUAGCGGUGAAAUGCGUAGAUAUCGGAAGGAACACCAGUGGCGAAGGCGACUUCCUGGACAAAUACUGACACUGAGACACGAAAGCGUGGGGAGCAAACAGGAUUAGAUACCCCAGUAGUC
rnacentral:rRNA from 1 species